rnacentral:rRNA from 1 species
CCCUUAGAUGUUCUGGGCUGCACGCGUGCUACAAUGGCGCUUGCAACAAGAUUGCCAACCCGAAAGGGUGAGCGGAUCUUUGAAGUGGCGUCGUGAUCGGGACAGUUGAUUGCAAUUAUUCGACUCGAACGAGGAAUUCCUUGUAAUCGCGAUUCAUCAUAUCGCGCUGAAUACGUCCCUGCCCUUUGUACACACCGCCCGUCGCUCCUACCGAUUGGAUGGUCCGGUGAAGCCUCGGGAUUGUGGUUCUUGCCGCUUUAUUGUGGCGUGACCGCGAGAACUUGUCUAAACCUUAUCAUCUAGAGGAAGGUGAAGUCGUAACA